AACGAACGCUGGCGGCAGGCUUAACACAUGCAAGUCGAACGCACCGCAAGGUGAGUGGCAGACGGGUGAGUAACGCGUGGGAAUCUACCGAGUUCUUCGGAAUAACUGAGGGAAACUUCAGCUAAUACCGGAUACGCCCUACGGGGGAAAGAUUUAUCGGAAUUGGAUGAGCCCGCGUAAGAUUAGCUAGUUGGUGGGUUAACGGCCUACCAAGGCGACGAUCUUUAGCUGGUCUGAGAGGAUGAUCAGCCACACUGGGACUGAGACACGGCCCAGACUCCUACGGGAGGCAGCAGUGGGGAAUAUUGGACAAUGGGCGAAAGCCUGAUCCAGCCAUGCCGCGUGAGUGAUGAAGGCCUUAGGGUUGUAAAGCUCUUUUAGUGGGGAAGAUAAUGACGGUACCCACAGAAAAAGCCCCGGCUAACUUCGUGCCAGCAGCCGCCGUAAAAC
rnacentral:rRNA from 1 species